CGGCGGACGGGUGAGUAACAAGUGGAUAACCUACCUAUAAGACUGGGAUAACUUCGGGAAACCGGAGCUAAUACCGGAUAAUAUAUUGAACCGCAUGGUUCAAUGGUGAAAGACGGUUUUGCUGUCACUUAUAGAUGGAUCCGCGCCGCAUUAGCUAGUUGGUAAGGUAACGGUUUACCAAGGCAACGAUGCGUAGCCGACCUGAGAGGGUGAUCGGCCACACUGGAACUGAGACACGGUCCAGACUCCUACGGGAGGCAGCAGAA
rnacentral:rRNA from 1 species